AAACUUUAGUGUUAACCAAGCAUAAACCUCAUAGCUUUGUUAUACAUAUUCCCAUGUGGUCAGCUUUCCACCUACACUACUAAACUUUCGUGCGACCUCAGUUAUUGCCUGCCUGGCCUAUAUGCCUUAUCACCCUAAAAUCCCAUCCACUCUUGGUGGGGUCCAACCCUGUUUCGUGACCUCUGAGAAACCUUCUGUCACAGCACCCAGAGGCAAUUCAUUUUUGAAUGGAUAACACACAAUAUGCAAGUGUCUGACAUACUCCUAUGAAAAGAUGGAUUUGAUUUAUUUGGUUUGGGUGGGAUGUGUUCACUUCCUGUUUUAUUUUUUGCUUUUAUUUCAGAUAAACUUAUGAGACAGGAGUCUUACAUAUGAGAUAAAGUGGGGAGUAAGAAGGCACCCUCUCAGCCUGUUACCAGGCUUGCCAAAAGACAACUAAGAAUAUGGACUAGUUGGUUUGAACAGCUAGAUCUUGCAGCCCCAUCUGCGACAGAGGAAGUUGAGUCAUUGCCUGACUGUGCCUGGAAAACAGCCUGACUACUGGAGACAGCUGUAAUGUUAGUUGUAUGUUGGCGCCCAUUUCCUACGCAGCCCAACAGGACCACUGCAGGACACUGCUGGAAAGCGAACGCAGACAGCGUGACGGACAAAAAUCACAAGUCCAAAAACUAAAACUUUUGCCACUUUAAUAACUUCCAGUUUCAUGUGAACUGGUAGCACAUGACUAUUUUCUCUUUUGAUGGGGGGCAAGACUGGAUUCAGAGUUAAGAAAAAAAUAAUUACAGAUUUUAAAAUAUUAAUAUAUUCUCACCAAGAUAGUACGCAGUGAAGACUGCUACUCGGAGGCAUCUGGAAAGCUUAAUAGAUAUCAAAUGAGCCAACUAACUGGAUAAUUCUUAUAAACUGCUUUGCGUAUUAAAGAACUGGCAUGUACAAGGCUCUUUAAAUACACCUUGUUAUUUUUAAAGGAAAGCAUGAAUUAGGAAUCAAGUCCCUGUAUUACAAUUUUGCCUCGUAUUUUAGACUCUUAACUCAGUGGAUACUUUUGCUCCUAUAAUACCAUACCAUAUUGCCUGAAUCUAUAGGCUUCCUAAUAUAUAGGUACAUCCUGAAAAGACAGCUUUAUAAGCUUGACCUUUAAAAUAUGACCUGAAAAUAUGGUGAGCGUAUGACCUCACACUUUAGAUCUUUUAACACUGGUUUAACAUUUACUUCUGCAGUCCUGGUUCAAAGAUCUUUCUUUUUGAAGCGAGAUUUGGGAGUGAGGGGAAACCAGGCAGCAUUCAGGACUCUUCUGACCCUUUUCUUGGGGUAUCCACAUUUCUUAGAUGGGGGUAUAACAAGUUGUGUUGCUUGGGAAGGAUUCACCCCAGGCACCAAUAUAUUUCCUUUUCUAUCGCUGAGUUUCCCUAUUCUGAAAGAAGGUCUAGAGCUUCAGGAACAGCAAUUCCAGCUCUAUCAACUUUCUUCUCAAUUAAAAAAAAAUGUUUUUAAAUCUCUGAAGUUGAA